CACGCCGUAAACGAUGAGUGCUAAGUGUUGGAGGGUUUCCGCCCUUCAGUGCUGGAGUUAACGCAUUAAGCACUCCGCCUGGGGAGUACGGCCGCAAGGCUGAAACUCAAAGGAAUUGACGGGGACCCGCACAAGCGGUGGAGCAUGUGGUUUAAUUCGACGCAACGCGAAGAACCUUACCAGCUCUUGACAUCUUCUGUUCACCCUAGAGAUAGGGCUUCCCCUUCGGGGGCAGAAUGACAGGUGG
rnacentral:rRNA from 1 species